CUCGGCUCGUCGCAGAAUGUUGCUUACAUCAGAGCAAGGUUCGGCGCGUGGUAAGAUGUUAUCAGUUUCUACAAAGGCAAGCUCAGCGCGUGGCUUGAUGUCGUUACGUCGGAGCGUUGCUAAGCAGCUCAUACAAAGGCAACCUCGGCGCAGCGUUGCUAAGCAGUGAAAACGACAAUUUAACUCUAAAAGUCAUCACUGCUCAGAUGUUAUAAAAAAUUACAUUAGAGUACAAAAAAUGCUAAAAUCAGAACGUUUAAAGCUUAAAAUCUUAUCAUUAAAAAUAUUAUUACAAUUACACACAAGCGCAAUGUUUGAAAAGUCAUAUAGACAAAAUGCAAUAAAAGAAUUUUGACAGAGGACAACCCGUCAGUCUAAAGGUGAAUUUGGAAGAGGACGAUACAUAAAUCAAUAAUUCCGAGCUUUUCAACAAUGAUAUACACUUUCUUUGGUUAAUUAACAAUUAUGUUAAUAUUCUAAUUAACUUUUUUUUACAAUACAGGAAAAUGUAACCCUCGAAGUUACCACUGGUCAGGAGCUAUCAAAUAAUUACAUUGGAAUGAAAAAAAUGUUAAGUUAAUGUUAAUUAUUGAUAAUAAUAUAAGAUAUAAUUUUACAUAUUUUAAUUUCCUUUUCUUCUAUAUUUAUUUAAUUUCCUGUUAAAUGUUUAAAGUGCAAUCUUAAUCGUAGUUAAACAAAACCUUGUGAUCUUUCCGAUCGAAAUUCGAAAUUCGUCAUAAGGAACACUCAUUUAUCGAGUGUUUUUUUAUGUAAUUUCACGUUCGCGUAUUCGGAUAUAAGUAGGUAUAGUUAUGAAAAUGAAUGAGUUACCCUCGUCUACAAUGAAUCAUGAUUUUAUUUGUUAUAUAAUAUCUACAAUAAAAAUACCACAUCGUUUGAAAAACAAUUUUCAUUACAAUUAUACAGUAAUUUUAUAUAAUAAUAUAAUAUUUAGGUUUCCGUUCUAAAUUAGAUGUAGCGAUGAACAUACACCUCUCAAUGGGAGUGAGAAAAUACAUUCUUUUUGUUGCAAAUUUCACAUUCAUUUCUUCACUCACAAUCGAUAUUUCUCGCAAUCACCAUCUGCGUAGACACUCGAAACGAUGUCGGCAUACAUAAAUGUACUUAUUGAAUUUUCUCAUUUUGUCUCAUUUUUGUCUAAUACACAUUAUUUAUAUCCUGUAUAAUCCAAGAAAAAGACUUGCGUAUUAUUUCCUUGCUCGUUAUUAGGGGAAAUCCAAGAUAGUCGUAUCAAGUGUCUCGCCUUUUUUUUCUUUUUUUUUUUCUGAUUCCAGUGAUCACGGAAACAUUUUUCCGCUUGCUGAGAUUCAUAGAAAACUUGGACUAGAUAAUCCAACUUCGUCAUCUCGCAUCUUAGAACGUAAAUAUCUCCAUUUAUCUAAACUUAGCUACACUUACUUAAUAGUAGCGUAAUAUUAUCUCUCGUAUUAGUUGUCCAUAAUAUAUAGAAAAUACAUGUAACAAUUAUUUAAGUGACUCACAAUCAAUCAUUUUGUCGCGAUAUAUUAUUAUAUCAAUUAAUGUAUGUCGCGCUGAAUGUAUACAUACGCAUAGGUAUAUGUAGGAGGUGUGUUCAUGUUUGCUCAUAUCGAUAAUUACAUGAUAUUUUCUUUUUACACUUGUCGUAAAUAGGAAAGGAAAAGGAUUAUUUGCAAGGAGUUUCGCGAGGAUGGAAGAUUUAGUAGAAACGGGAAUAUACUUUUCCAUUUUUCAUGAUUAUCAAUCAUCUUUUCUUACUUUUUAUAGCAGCUAUCUAAGAAAAAAUAUUGAAAGUACCAUGCCUUGGGAGAUAAUAGCAAGUUUUUUUUUUUUUUAACUUAUUAUAUCUCCUCGUAAUAAUAUUUUAUGUGUAUCGUUUUAUUCGAACCUACUUAUUUACUUAUGUAAAUCUUCUUUCUUUUGAUUAAUUUCUUUUGUUAUGUCCUUCUUCG
rnacentral:lncRNA from 1 species